AGGAGCGUCCACCGCAUGGUGGGUGUUGGAAAGAUUUAUCGGUUUUGGAUGGACUCGCGGCCUAUCAGCUUGUUGGUGAGGUAAUGGCUCACCAAGGCGACGACGGGUAGCCGGCCUGAGAGGGUGACCGGCCACACUGGGACUGAGACACGGCCCAGACUCCUACGGGAGGCAGCAGUGGGGAAUAUUGCACAAUGGGCGCAAGCCUGAUGCAGCGACGCCGCGUGAGGGAUGACGGCCUUCGGGUUGUAAACCUCUUUCAGUAGGGAAGAAGCGAAAGUGACGGUACCUGCAGAAGAAGCACCGGCUAACUACGUGCCAGCAGCCGCGGUAAUACGUAGGGUGCGAGCGUUAUCCGGAAUUAUUGGGCGUAAAGAGCUCGUAGGCGGUUUGUCGCGUCUGUCGUGAAAGUCCGGGGCUUAACCCCGGAUCUGCGGUGGGUACGGGCAGACUAGAGUGCAGUAGGGGAGACUGGAAUUCCUGGUGUAGCGGUGGAAUGCGCAGAUAUCAGGAGGAACACCGAUGGCGAAGGCAGGUCUCUGGGCUGUAACUGACGCUGAGGAGCGAAAGCAUGGGGAGCGAACAGGAUUAGAUACCCUGGUAGUCCAUGCCGUAAACGUUGGGCACUAGGUGUGGGGACCAUUCCACGGUUUCCGCGCCGCAGCUAACGCAUUAAGUGCCCCGCCUGGGGAGUACGGCCGCAAGGCUAAAACUCAAAGGAAUUGACGGGGGCCCGCACAAGCGGCGGAGCAUGCGGAUUAAUUCGAUGCAACGCGAAGAACCUUACCAAGGCUUGACAUGUUCUCGAUCGCCGUAGAGAUACGGUUUCCCCUUUGGGGCGGGUUCACAGGUGGUGCAUGGUUGUCGUCAGCUCGUGUCGUGAGAUGUUGGGUUAAGUCCCGCAACGAGCGCAACCCUCGUUCCAUGUUGCCAGCACGUCGUGGUGGGGACUCAUGGGAGACUGCCGGGGUCAACUCGGAGGAAGGUGAGGACGACGUCAAAUCAUCAUGCCCCUUAUGUCUUGGGCUUCACGCAUGCUACAAUGGCCGGUACAAUGGGUUGCGAUACUGUGAGGUGGAGCUAAUCCCAAAAAGCCGGUCUCAGUUCGGAUUGGGGUCUGCAACUCGACCCC
rnacentral:rRNA from 1 species